rnacentral:rRNA from 1 species
CCUACGGGAGGCAGCAGUCGAGAAUAGUCUACAAUGGUCGGAAGACUGAUAGUGCGACGCCGCGUGAACGAUGAAUCCCUUCGGGGUGUAAAGUUCUUUUAUAUGUGAGCAGUGCUUCUUAUAUUAACAGUAUGGGGAGAGAGAUAUUAGCAUAUGAAUAAGCAACGGCUAACUCCGUGCCAGCAGCCGCGGUAAU